AAUCGCUGCAGAACACAGCAUCACCACAGGAAUGGGAUCAACACAGGCAGAGCACACAGUAAUCAUCUCUGCUAUUCUCUGAUUCAAAACAACUGCAAAGAGAACUAAUGCUUUUGACAGUUACAGUAAUUGUGCAGGAUGCGAAACUGGUGUCCUCAGUCCAGCGGCGGGCCACCUCUGGGUCAUCACACAGCAGGAUGUUGUCAAAAAGCACACCCCCCGUCACAGACCACAGCUCCAAUCCCACUGCAGCCACAGGCCUUAUCUGGAAUGGUGGGGGGGCAUCAGAAAAUGCAGGAUUUGGGAUAGUGCGAGGAUACCAUUGCCCCUGUGAGAGAGGAAUGGAGGAGUUGGUUGUGGUAAAGAAAGAGACAGGAUUGGGAACUCCAGAUUCAGAUUCAUACGUCUCAAUUUGUGUGAUUUAAAAGUGAACCCACUCAUGGACGAGCUGAUCAACACGAUAAACAAGUGUAGAAAAUUUCCAGAGGAAUGUGCCACAUUACUUAAACGACUCUAAACUAACUAGCAUUCUCACAAACCUGCUGUAUAUUACAACAUUGCAGAAGCAUGAAAGUGUAACACAGUAGAGCCAGCACUGGAGUAACUAAGAACACAAGCACAAGAAUAUGUCUUUUUUCUCACAAUUACAGGUCAUAUGUGAUAGAAAUGGGCAUAUGCACCAAUGAUAUGUAUGAGGCAGAAUUUUUACAUAUGCACCAAUGAUGUGGGACGGAUGUGGGUUGCAUUCA